UGCAGGCUGCAAUGGCAAAGGGGCUUUAUUAGAGCGCUAAGUGUGGGUAGCGGCAGCCGCUGGGCUCCGGCUUUAUUAAACCGUAGCUCUUCCCCGCUGGCACCUUGUUAUUGCCAGGGCUAUUGUGAAGCUGAAUGAGGAGCACGCGAGGCUAAGGGGAGAGUUUUAAAAAGGAAAGAUGAGCCUGGACACAGGAGGGGGUGCUUCUGCUUAUCAACGCACAGGAAAGCUUAGGACGAACAGUCGCGUAGAACAUUCACAUGAUGGAGAGGAACUUGCUCGGCUGCAUCCCACACUUGAGCUCCAGGACUGGAAAUGGGGUUCCCUUGUGGGCUCCCUUGUGUGGCUUUAAGGGACCACCUUCCCGCACUGUUUCUCUGUCCGGAGCUGUGCAUCCUCCCAGCAAGGAUGCCAUCAGCACCCAGGCAGCCCACUGGUUCCAGAGACGGUGUCCUGCCGGAGGAAGCACUCCACUUUGCUGCUGUGAAGUCCCUACCUCACAACAGAGGUACCACAACCACGAGAGGAGAGAGUUGAGCCCACUGACAUCUAAGAUUCUUUCCAGCCUUCAGAACUCUGGCUGUGUGCCUGCAGGGAGCCGGGGACCCCGCCCUGCACCUUUUCCUUAGGAUCCACUGUGAGAAGUCCUGCUGUGGCUGUUCUGUUGAAAGUGGGGGUUUUAUCCCCCAGCUGCUCAGAGAAGACCAUUAAAUGCCCUUGCUCCCA